UGAAAUAAUAACAAAUAUUCUUUAAACACAUAACGUAUUAAAAAAAGUUAUAAAACAAUAAAAAAAAAUAUUAAUAUUAUUGUGCAACAACACUAUUAAACCAUCUAGGUAAAUUCGUUUUAUAAUUAUAACGUUAAAUAAUAAAUUUAAUUCAUUAUGACUCAAUAUUAUAAAUUAAAAGUUACGUCAUUGUUUACACUGACAACUUAAUCUGUCAGCUGUAAAAACAAGUAACAGCCCACAUUAAUUCUUAAAUAUUCCUAUACCGACUGACAGACAUUUUGCCAUUCGCCAUUUCUUGUUGUAUGUUUCCUUUGAAGGAAAUGUACACCUGAGGAUUAAAAGAUUGCAGCAAAGAAAUUUUGGAUUAAAAUUGAAGAUACUGACAUAUUUUUUUGAAGCAGUUUUCAUCAUACUCAACAUUUCGAAUGAGGAGAGCAUUGCAUUUACAAUAAAAUUGUUUAAAUAAAAUUAAGGUUAACUCAACUCACACAGGUGUCAAAUAUGUUCAGCUACGUUUUUGGAAUUUUUGGAUUUUUUAUUUUAGGUAAGUACAAU